rnacentral:snRNA from 1 species
GUGCUUGCUUCAGCAGCACAUGUACUAAAAUUGGAACAAUACAGAGAAAAUUAGCAUGGCCCCUGCGCAAGGAUGACAUGCAAAUUUGUGAAGCAUUGCAUAUUAAA